rnacentral:rRNA from 1 species
AGAGUUUGAUCAUGGCUCAGGACGAACGCUGGCGGCGUGCUUAACACAUGCAAGUCAAGGAGAACGUAUUCUUCGGAAUACUAUUAAACUGGCGAACGGGUGAGUAACGCGUAGGCAACCUGCCCUAGAGACGGGGAUAACUUCGGGAAACCGGGGCUAAUACCGGAUAAUGCAGCGGAUCCUUCGGGAUACAGUUGUUAAAGCGGGCUUCGGCUCGCACUUUAGGAUGGGCCUGCGUCCGAUUAGCUUGUUGGUAAGGUAAUGGCUUACCAAGGCGAUGAUCGGUAGCUGGUCUGAGAGGAUGAUCAGCCACACUGGGAUUGAGAUACGGCCCAGACUCCUACGGGAGGCAGCAGUGGGGAAUUUUGCGCAAUGGGGGAAACCCUGACGCAGCAACGCCGCGUGACCGAUGAAGCUUUUCGGAGUGUAAAGGUCUGUCGUAAGGGAAGAAAAGUUUGGAUGUAAAUAAUGUUCGAACCUGACGGUACCUUACAAGAAAGCACCGGCUAACUUCGUGCCAGCAGCCGCGGUGAUACGAGGGGUGCAAGCGUUGUCCGGAAUCACUGGGCGUAAAGGGUCCGUAGGCGUCCCAAUAAGUCAUUUGUAAAUACACCGGNCUUAACCGGUGGCCUGCAUUUGAAACUAUUGGGAUAGAGUAUAGGAGAGGAAAGUGGAAUUCCUGGUGUA